rnacentral:sRNA from 1 species
GUGAAUUUCUAUGAUGGUAAAGAUGUAUUGCAACCAAAUGCAAUGAUCUCAUUACCACCAAAAGAAGGCGACGACUACAGUCGUUUCCAUCAUUUAUUAGACAAGAGAGAUGACGAUUUUGUCAUAGACAAACGACAUUUUAGUGCAUUUGUAGGAACAGAUUUGGACUUACAAUUGCGACGUCGAGGAAUUGAUACGAUUGUUCUUGGUGGUGUCGCAACGCAUAUUGGUGUAGAUACGACAGCACGAGACGCCUAUCAAUUAAACUACGAUCAGUAUUUUGUUACUGACAUGAUGAGCGCUCAAAACGAAACGCUACAUCAAUUCCCAAUAGAUAAUUUAUUCCCAUUGAUGGGACAAACAAUAACUACAAACGACUUUCUAAA